rnacentral:lncRNA from 1 species
CAUUCAUCUAGGAAGUUGCUUUCUCCACAUUACCAAAGGUGAUAGCAGUUAGCUGCAUCAAUUAGAAAAAGUCCAGAGGGUAGGUCCUCAGCUGGUGUAAAUCAGCGUAGCUCAUUUGACUUUAAUGGUGUUACAUGACCUUACCCCAGCUCAGGAUAUGGUUCCAUAUAUCUCCAAUCAUGAUGUUGUCUAUCUGUCUCCCCGCUACACAUCUCUGCCAGGUCACUACGUUCACAUUACAGAUUUAAACCAACCCUGCAGGAGUCACCUAGGUGUAGUUUAUGAAAUGACAGAAGAUUCUAUUUAAUCUAUCUUCUUGCCUCUGCUUCUAAGACUUCUUGUAGCAGCGAGGCUACAGCUAGGAGAGAGGGAAUUUAUAGACUUUUUGAAGCAGUUCUCUGAUGUUCCUUGAAAGGACUUUUGAUUGUGAAAGAUAUUUUUGAAAGUCUUGACUGUUUUAUUUUUAGAUGCAGCAAAGUGGAGAAUUAUAUGCCUGCAGAAGAAAACCAAGCUGGCAGGCUUCCUGAACUUAUUCAGAGGUAAAGAAUGGAGGAAGCGUGAUGAAAAAAGAAUACAGAUCUGAAACCUACUCAACAGUCCACCAAUAAGAUCUCACAUCCUGUCCUGAAGGAGCUGUCGGUGGACCCUUCUUUAGAUAACGUUACUAAGGCCAUCAAGCAGCUGCCCACAGGCAAGUCUCCAGGCCCCAAUGGCAUUCCACCUGAAGAGUACACAUGUGGAGGUGCCCGCCUGGUCAGGAAACUCACCAGCCUUUUCAAAACUAUAUGGGAACAGAGUACGGUGCCCCGGGUGUAUAAGGAUGCAUUCAUAGUCCAUCUAUACCAAAGGAAGGGAAACAUAUCUAGCUGUGACAACCAUCACAGAAUCUCACUGCUGUCUCUACCAGGGAAGAUCCUUGCACGGGUUGUCUUCAGACUCAUCUGUCACCUGGUGGACUCAGUGUAUCCAGAGUCACAGUGUGGUUUUUGUGCUGGCCAUGUCACCAUGGACAUGAUUUUUGCAGCCCAACAAAUAUCAGACGGGGCUCGUGAACGGAAGAAGAACUUGUGCAUGGUGUUUGUUGACCUGACCAAGGCCUUCGACACAUUGAAUCGUAAGGGCUGAUGGAAACUCCUUUAUAAGUUUGGUUGAUCAGAGAAGAUGGUUGCUGUCAUCCACUCAUUUCAUGAUGGUCAGGAUGAUGUAGGCUCACCCACAGGCUCUGGAGGCAGUGUGGAGUCUGCUUCAAAACCAAAAUAAAAAACUACCAUGCUGUUGUGCUCA